rnacentral:rRNA from 1 species
UACGUAGGGGGCAAGCGUUAUCCGGAUUUACUGGGCGUAAAGGGAGCGUAGACGGUGAUGUAAGUCAGAUGUGAAAGCCCGGGGCUCAACUCCGGGACUGCAUUUGAAACUAUGUUGCUAGAGUGCAGGAGAGGUAAGUGGAAUUCCUAGUGUAGCGGUGAAAUGCGUAGAUAUUAGGAGGAACACCAGUGGCGAAGGCGGCUUACUGGACUGUAACUGACGUUGAGGCUCGAAAGCGUGGGGAGCAAACAGG